UAGUUGGUGGAGUUCUGCCCGGAUGGAAGCUGCGGCCGCGGAGUGAUGGUGGCCUCAGCGAAGAUGGGCCGGGCAGGGACCAUGGCGGUGGCAGCAGAGGUGGCAGGGGCGGGGCGGCUGGCGGUAGAGGAGGCUGUGGUCCUCAGGGGGCUGUAGGUGGAGGUAUGGCUCGGGCCAGCAGCGGGAACGGCAGCGAGGAGGCCUGGGGGGCACUUCGGGCGCCGCAACAGCAGAUGCAGCUGACUUUGCCUGUAGCCUCAUAGACCCCAUCCCAUGGCUGCAGUGGAAGCUUGCGGUGGCUCUCCAGUGACCAGAGGCAUAACUGAUUCUUGCUAUUCCAAAUCCUCUUCCACGUUGACAGCCCUUCAGAUAUUUCAACACUCCUCUCAGCAUCCUCCACUUCCCCCAUCUCUCCAAGCUGAACUUGGUUCACAGGGUGGGAUUGUGUAUGUGCAUGCAGGAGGUGGGGGUGGACAGUGCCCUGGGCUGGAAUCCCCCUUAGUUCUAAGUGCCUCCUUGCCCGCAGCUUCGAGAGCUGUGCCCAGGAGUGAACAACCAGCCCUAUCUCUGUGAGAGUGGUCACUGCUGCGGGGAGACUGGCUGCUGCACCUACUACUAUGAGCUCUGGUGGUUCUGGCUGCUCUGGACUGUCCUCAUCCUCU
rnacentral:sRNA from 1 species